rnacentral:lncRNA from 1 species
AUGGGAUUUUAUGAUUUCCUCAGGAACAUGAUUUCUCAAGCUACCACCCUCUUUCUAAGCACAGUUUUCUUCCGGCAGGAGUGCCUGUGUCCCGUUGGCCAGUGGUUGAUUUCAGUGUUGCUAGUGAAGCAGUUUGAGGACCUUGGCGAAGGCGAGAGUUAGCAGUUCUGGAUCUUUAAAGUGCAAGGUGGUCAUACAUUGAACUGUUUUGCCUUUGACCCCGAAGACAGCUCACCCUCAACCCUUGCCCUGAAUUGACCUCCCUCACUUUGGUUCAAGACCUGGAGUGAUGUGUUCCCACCCCAGAACACUUUU